rnacentral:lncRNA from 1 species
ACAGAUUCCAACUUUUCACAAUUUUUUUUUUUUUUUAAUAUCAUUCCGUAUCAAUAUGUCAAUAUUGACUUUUGUUGAAUUAUAUUAUUUUAAGCACAACAAACUUUUCAAUGCAGGAAUGAUCACAAACAUUCACUACUACAAAAUGUUAAAACCGAAAAUUUUAAAAACGAUUUUUCAAACAAAACUGUAAAAAAAAUUGGUAAUAUUUUUGUAAAUAUUUAGACAUUUACAGCGUUAGUUAUACCCUAAACCAUCAUUAAAAGUGACCUUACACAAAAUACGAUGACAGUCUAUGAACCGUCAGUGAAAGACAAUUCCAUUAUAAACUUUUAUUAAAAGUGUCAUUUAUUUAUUGUUUUUUUUUAUGUGAACCAUUCUCCUACCUGUUGCAUCUCCUUCUCCGUGUCGCACCAUUCUCACCACCAUCAUGCGAGCUUUCAGACGUCGCCCAUCGCACCACACUAGCCAUUGCAACCCCGUGCACUCCCACGCACCGCCCCUCACCCUUCUCCCUUCCUUUUGCACACAACAUAUCGCCCCCUUCCCCCUUAUCCCACUCCCCGGGCACAAAUCGCGCUGCCUUCCCCCAAGUGCACCGUUGCUCCCUUCCUUUGGGCGCAAAUCACACCGCCUCCCCCUUCCUCUCAAGUGCGCAUUGUGCUAUAUCUAAAUUGUUAAAUUCAGAAUACAAUUGACUUAUAAAUUCUACACACCGCCUCCCCCUCAGGUGCGCAUUGUGCUACAUCUAAAUUGUAAAAUUCAUAAUGCAGUUGACUUCCAAAUUCUACAAUUUGAAAGUCAUUUUCUGUAUUAAAAAAUGACUUCUUUCAGAAUAUAAAUUCAUACGGAUAUUUUUGAAACUACAGUAAAUGUGGAGGUGACUCCCAUUUAUGUUAUUCUCUUUCCUAUUCAUAUUAUGUUUCUCUCUUUAGAUAACAAUAAAUUUAAGUUUGAACAAAUGUCAAAUAAAUAAGAUAUGUUAUAACUACCAUUUUUGUUAGUUAUAAAUUAAAUUAAGAAACUAUGGUUAAAUAUAGACAACAAUUUAUUAUGAUUAAUUUAUCUUUAUUGGUCAAGUAAAAUUUAAGAUAUUUCAAUAUAUAGAUUGAUCUAGAACUAAUAGACUAGAUACCCUUUCAUCUAUAAAAGUAUAAGUAAAUAUGGCUUAAUUUGAGUCAUAGAUUGUUUCCUGAGAUAAAAGGUUCACAACCCUUUAAUAGAGAGUAAAAAAAAGUUGAAUGAAAUUAUUCUUAUUAGGCGGGGAAGUACUCCUUUCCUGUUGGAUACUCCUAGUCAGCGAUGUUGCAAGGUUUUCAAUCUUCGGUUGGUGAGGGCAGAGUACCUACAAAAGACACUAUGAUGCCUAAGUUAGUUCUCAGUAUGAGAUAAGUGAGAGUAAUAAAUAUUGUUUAAUGUGUAUAUUUGUCUUGGUUAGUGUGCAUAUUUAUAGGGUCGUGGUGGACCUCUAAUACUAGCUUGGAUUAAGGUAAGUUAUCAUAUUAAUCUCAGAAUUAGGGUAUCAUUCUGUAUUAUGAUUAUGUUAAUCGUGUUGUGUUAAGGGACGUUAUUGGGUCUUUGAAAGCCAUGUCGGCCACGUCACUUAAGGGGUGUUCGGUCAACUCUGUUGAACAUGGAGUUUUGAUGUCUCCAAAUCUAAUAUAAAUGCUUGAAGACCUUGUUGUUGGUUGUGUGUGUGUCUAGAAGUAUUUGAAUUUGUUAAUCCACUCUUUAUGAUGAUCCAAGGUUAAUUGAAUCUUAAUCCUUUUGAAAAAGAUGUGUUUUCCAAAGAAGAUGAAAACUCAACCUAUUGAAAUGUCGAUACAAUCGGUUGUUUUACACUUAGUGUAUUUUGAAAAGAAUUUGAAAAACUUGACUUUGGUUGAUUGUUUUGUCACACCAAUUCAACUGGUUGUUUCGAGAAUUUAACUAGUUGUUUUUCUGAAAACCUUAACAAAAUUUUGUUAAGUUGUACCAAUCUGUUUUAAAUGAUUCAAACUGCUUUUGGUUCUUGAAUUAAAUGCUUUGAUCAUCUGAUUAGAGUAUAAAAAGGUUGUUUUACGCUCCUGGUCAUUAACUAAGAAAGAGAGAUAAAUCAAAAUCAAUUUUCAAGAUUGCAAAGAGCUUUUGGAUCAUCUAAAAGUGUGGAAUAUGAUUGUCUUGUAAUUCUGAACAAUAAUAUUUGAUUUUACCCUUAUGUAUUCUAUUUCAUUCUUCCUUAAUCAUUGUAUUUCUGUGUGACUUGGUGUUGUGCAAUUUCAGAAGGUUGUUUUGGAAACUGUGUGUUUUGCCAAAGAGGGGUGUGUGUUCUUGAGGGGUUCAAAAUCAUCAUUAUUGGUGUGUUGUUUGUAAUCAAGGUUUGAUUACUAAGUGAAUUCUUAGUGGUUAGUCGAGGACUAGAUGUAGCUUUUGGUUAAGAAUGAACAAGUAUAAACAUUAUGUGUGAAUCUUUUUAUUCUUACACUCUUUAAACUGUUUUGCUUUGAUUUUAUAAACUGUUGGUAUAAACAACCAGUUCGAAAAAACAACUGGUUGAUUUUCUGGAAUCAAACUAAAAACAGUUUUCUAAUUGGCUGAACAGUUUUCUAAUUGAUUGACUCUUCAUAUUCUUUCACUCUACCUUCAAUACUUGCGAAAAUCUUUCAAAAACAAUUCACUCCCAUCUUGUUUAAGGCCUCUAAUUCUAACAAACUAUUCCGAUCAAGGGGUCUCGAUGUCGUUUGGUAUACUUUCCCUCCAAUCUCGAAAGUUCAUAAUCUUGAAGAGGUUCCUAUAGUUGGUAUUUUUGCAGAAUUCGUGUUCGGGGUCGUACCAAUUUUGAGGUGUAACCGAGGGUAUGUUGGUUUGGGUCAUGAGGAGAUGUGGUAGAUUCCAUAAUGUUCCAUGUGUUUUGGUAGGGAAUUUGAGUUUAAAUUUUUCCUUGGAGUUUGAGCGUUUCGCAUUUUGACCAUUGGGUGUGAUGAGAUAUGACGAUUGUGAAGCAUUCUGACAUUUGGGUUUCUAGAGGGAAUGAGUGAAUUAGUCUUAACUUCUUACAUUCUUGACAUUUUUCAAUGAAAGCAUGAGCAUCCUUUCAAAGACUGACAAAUAGUAUCCUGCUCUAAAAAACCUGAUUUCAAUGCAUCAAAAUCCCAAGUACAUUUUUCAUAUUCCUCGAUGCAACUUAGCUACGACAUAUUAGGCUUGAUCUUCAUCCAAACACUUGAGUAAUGAGAAAUUGUCUAUAAAAGGCAUCCCUUCUUUGCAGAAUUCAAACUACCUCCGCCAACAAAUCCUCUUGUAGUGUUGAUGGUCCCUCUGGCCUCAUUAGAAUUUUGCUAGGGUUGCUCUCUUUGUUGUUGUUCGGGUUGAGAUGUUGUUAUUGUUGAACAAGAAAGCUUUGAUGAUUUCUAAAUCUAUCAUGAAGACCUGCUAUUGUGUGUGUCUAGUUAGGUAUUGUAUUAUAAAUUUGCAUCUAGGUAUGAUCCAAGUAAAUCUGAUUUGAAAUCUCUUUUGAAUGUUUUAUUUUCCAAAUCUAUGUUUAUUUUAACUAGUUGAGUCAUAUAAUAAUCAGUUGAAAUUACUUAUGUUUAAUAGAUUGAUUUAUCGUAUCAAUUAGCUAAAAAUACUUAAAGAGUUUUAAAGAAUUUAAAAAUGAUUUGUUUUCUUUUUGUCUUUUCUGUUAAGUGAAAUCAACUAGUUAUUUCAAUAAAUGAACUAAUUUUUUAUAUGGUGAUUUCAACAGUUAAAGAAAACAAUCAGUUAGUUUAAAAAAUAAUUAAAUGAUUUUAACAUAAUAUUGUUAUGUUUUUCAAAUUGUUUUUAAUUGAUUUAAAACUAAUUUCAUUAAAUGAUCAAACUUUUUUAACAAUCAUUAAAAUGUUUUCUAAUCAUUUAACAUAACAUUGUAUAACACUUUUCAAGAGAGAAAACCAAAUUGUUUUAGAAUCAUUCUUGAAGAUUACAUUUUAAUCUUAUAUCAUUGUUAUGGUGUGAAGUAGGUUACGGGUUAACAUUUCUAUUGUUCUUCAUUUGUAUCAAACCCAAAUGUAUUCGAAUUUUCAUUCUUCUUUAUUGUACUGUGUUGUAAACAAAUUCAUAUAGGUUUUUUGAAAUUUGUGUGUGGUUAGGAGUGUUAUGUGUUUUUGAAGGGUUCAAGAUCAACACUAUUGAUUGUGUUUGUAAUAUUGGUUGAUUGCUUUAGUGAAUUUUUAAUGGUGUGCUGAUGACUGGAUGUAGCUCUUGGUUAAGAGUGAACUAGUAUAAUUCUCUUGUGUGAUAUCUCUCUUCCUUACUCUGAUAUUUGUGGUAUAAAUUGUUUUUAGUGUUUUGUGAGUAAAACUAUCAAUUAAUUUCUCGAAUCAACAAAUUUAAUUUUUGGUUAUAUAACCAUCAAUCUUUUCAUAACUAGUUGAACAUGUUAAUCAAUAGGUUGAUUCAAUUGAUGUUUUCAAUGUAACACCAGUAUUUGCGAAAAUCUUAUGAAACCAAUUCACCCCUCUUGUUUCAAGCUACAUAUUUUAAUAGUUAUUUGCUUAUGGUGAUUUCCUUUGCCUCGAACUUGGUGACUGUCGUGAAAUCCUCGGUCUCAACCUCUACCGUGCCAUCCUCCAUGUCCUCGACCUCGCCCGACCUAUUCGUUAUGGACGAAACAUCCCAAGGCCCUGGAUCAUACGAGCUCCUCAAUUAGAUCAUGAACACGUAACAUUCUUUCAUGGUGUGCCCCUAAUUUUGAUGAUAAUUACAUCUUUUAACUGAGUUGACAAACGAAAGAGAAGGUGUAGGCUGAGGUAGCUGAAUUAGUUUGAGAUUAAAUGCUUCUUGGAUGAUGACAUCUUUGUUAGCAUUGAGAGGAGUGUAAUUUUUAUAUAUAUUGGCAUGUAUUUUCUUAAAAGUUUUUAUAUUAGUAGUAGCGAUUGUGGAUGGAGCCUUCACCCUUUUUCUAAUGUCUGAGUUCUCUUCAAUACUAAUAUACUUGGAUGUACGUGUACAAAGUGCAUCCAUAUUGGUGGGUGGGUCAACAUAUAAAGAGUUCGGGAAAAUUCAUGAACAAAGUCCCACACCACUAGGUGCAAAUUGAUAGCGGCUUGACAUCUCCUUGUGAUGUGCUCGAGUGAGGCUAAUGUUAUGACCAUUAAUUUGCAAUUGACAAACUAAGCUGAAAACCUCGUACAAAAUGUGUCGAAUGAGUCAAUAAAAUUUUGAGGAAGAGAUUAAUAUUGUUUAUGAGUUGAUCCUUUAAAGAUCGUGGAAAAUAAUCGACAAUGUAUUCCCAAAUUAAAAAAAAUAUAUAAUUUUACGUGUUAUUAUUGUAAGUAGAUAAUCUCAACUUCGUAUAUUACGGUAUUAAGUCAUAUAUAUAUAUAUUAACUAAGUGGUUUUGGGUUGUUAGAAUUACUUUUCCAAUAAGAAAUACUUUAAAUUUUGUAUUUAUUUUUAUAUUCAUAAUUUAUUUCCUAUUUUUAAAAUAACUUUUUUAUAUUUAUUUUCAAUUGUUUUGACCUAGUUACAAAAACUAUGUUUCAGAGAGGUAUUUUUCCUGGUUUCUAAAUUUUUUUCGUUAAAUAAAUUUUUUGUGUAGUUUUAUUAUUAGUAUUUGGCAAACAAAAUUUUCAGUAGUUUGUAGUAUUUUUGAAACGUUAUUAAAACAACUUAUUUUUAAACAAUAACUUCCAUUUAUUUGAUAUCUAUUUCUAUUUUCUUCUUUAACAUAUUUAUUAAGUUUUUUUUUUAAUUUUAUGUUUUUCAUCCACUCAUACGACAUCAUUUUAUGAUUUUUUUAAAUUUUUUCUUACAUAAGGUAAAUAUUAUUAUUUUUAAUCUUUUAACAAAUAAGAUAUCGACAAUAAUAAAAAAUAAAUUUACUAUCAUCAUUAAUAUUUAACUACUUUUAUAUUAUAUCUUAUGUCUAUAUAAAAAUACGUUAUUUUUAUUUUAUUUUAUUUUAAAUUUCUAUAGAAAUAUUGUAAAAUAUUGUAUAGAAUUAAUAAGAAAACUAAAUAAGAAGAAGUAUAUAACAAUUUUAAACAAACUAAAAUUAAUUAAAAUAAUUAUUUGCAAAUAAAAUAUUAUAAAAUAUUAAUUCUAUUAAGAAUUAGAAAUAUCCUUAAAAAUAUUUUUUUUAUAAAAUAUCGUAUAGUUCUAUCAUUCACCUUAAUUUAACUAAUAAUUUCAGUGAACAAACACUCUUAAUUUAAUAAGUUAGCUACAACUUUUAAUAAUUAACUAUUUUGUUUACUUUCUUCCAAUAUAACCUAAAUAACUGUUAAAUAUGUAGAUAUAGGUGUGUGUUACUCUUGUAAAUUCAGUUAAACUGCAUGGAAUAACCAUUUCCAGUACUUUUCUGUAUAGAUUUUUGAAAAACAAAAAGACAUGUUAUAAACUGUCUGAAAAAUUAAAAAAAAAAUAAAACUUUUAAGUGUAAUUCAUAAGGUAAUUUACUUAUAUAUAUUAUAAUUUUUGUUUUAUUUUUAUUCAACGUGAGCCUCACACUAAACUUUAGAAAUUCAUACAUAAAAUUUAUUAUAAAUACGUCCAACACUAGAUAGUAUGAUAUUAUUUUAGAAAAUCAACUUUAAACCUAAUAUCAAAUCAGUUUAUAAAAUAAAAUCUACAACCACUUAUAUACUAUUUAUAUACAUGAAAAUUUUUUAUUUUAAAAAGAAAAUAUAAGAAUAAUUUGCUAAAAUUCCUAAUGCAUUUACUGGUUUGAGCUACCUACCUAUCACGUCUAUUAUGUCUAUUGUUGCCAAAAGUUCCAAUUACUUCCUAAACCUUUCCUUUUUUCUCUUUACUAUGUUUCAUAUUCAGAAUCUGUUAGCAGCAAAGAAACAAAAUGAUGAGUAGCACAUCCAUUAAGGUUGCCGUGUUGGGAAGUGGAAGUAAGCACUACACCCACUUCACUUGAAAUCAACUCAUUUUUUUUGAAUAAUAAUUGUGAUAAUAAUAAUGUAAUAUUGACAGUUUCAGGAGCCGUGUGUGCUUCAACUCUUGCCAAAUAUGGGGUUUCUGUCACUCUCUUUGAGUCAGCCAGAGGCCCUGGCGGACGUAUGUCCCAAAGAAGGUACUUUUGGUAAUGUAUAGGGUUCCCUCCACCGUUUAUUCUAAUGGGGUUCUGCGGAAUUGUUGUUUAAACCAUUGGAAUAGCAUUUUCAAGAUGCCCAUUUCAUUCAGGGAGAUUUUUUUAUAUCUUAUCAGUUACAUUACAUAGUUUUCUGUUAUCUCUUUGAAAAAGUAUUUAUUUUUUAAAGGAGAAAAAGGAAACAGAUUUAAAUUUUCUGAUUGCUGUAUUUUGUUGGAGAUUCCACAUCAUGAUGAUAUUUCAUUGUAUAUAAGUGAGUCAAAACCUCACCUUAUAAGCCGAUUUCCAAUUCUUAACAUAUUUGUUUGCUUUGAAUAUGUGGAAUUAGGAAGGUUUGUUAGGGCUUAUGUUUUGCACCUUUUCAGAUUGGUAGCAUGUAGCUUGAUCUCUCUAUGAAAUCGUUAUUUCAAUUUUCAGUCUUCUAGUUUGUAUUAUUUAAUAUGUUUUAUGGAUUAUUUUAUUUUACUUUUUGUGAUAAUUUGCUGACUGCCAUUGCUUAGUCAAAGAAGUGACACUGAUAUUUAAUGAUAGUUUAGUUUAAGGUGUAGCACAGUUAAUAUUGAUUUUUCCUCACUAAUUAUACUGGAUUUUCCUUCUUUAGUUUGGUGAUAAUUUGAAACAGGAUCCUAAAAUUUGUCAAUUUCUUGCAAUCAGGGAAAAAACUGAAGAUGGGAAGGAGCUGCAUUUUGACCAUGGUGCCCCAUUUUUCUCUGUUGGCAAGUCUGAAGUCUUACGCCUGGUUGAAGAGUGGGAAUCAAGGGGUCUUGUAGCUGAAUGGAAAGAAAAGUUUGGCUUCUUUGAUUUUCACACCCGUGAAUUUAACAACAUUGAGCAGGUUGACAAUUAUAAUUCAUAUGCUCAAAUUGUUUUAUGCAGUAUAAGUAGUGUCAUGUGUGAAAAACAAGAAAUAAGACACAAGAAGAAGAGAGGGUUGAAUUGCAUUUUUAAAAUUUCCCAGUUUUUCGUUGAUCUCGUUUGUUUAGAUGCCGUUAGACGAUAAAUGUAAAAAUCGAAAAUUUGAGAAUUCUUUGUGAAAACUGGUUUUAAUUUUUCCUUCCUUAGUUAGUUAGACAACAAAAUAACUAGUUCGACAGCAGAAUAACCUGCAAUGUAAAAGAUUGAAGAAAAGGAAAAGUUACUCAUCCGUCAUCAUCUUAUGAGCUAUCAUGUUGAGAAGCAUUAAAUGCAUGGCAUGGAGCAUUAAAUCCUCUUCUCUUCUUUAUGCAACCUCUAUGAUAGUUGGCAGUAGUACUUAUCUUCCUCGGAAAUUGAUCCUUUUACACUGAACAUUGGUUAAAAGUGCACAUUGUACAUGAUAGACAGUUGAGUAAAAGUUGAAACUAGCUUUGUCAAAGAAGUUGGUGGUCAUUUUAGCUUUAGCCAUAUCCCAAGGCAUUUUUGAAAGUUGCUAGGCCCGAUCUACCUGGGAGUAAAAGACAUUCUUUGUUUCUUCAAACUUAAGCUUUGGUAUAUUCUUCAUGCUUGUCAUCUUGAAGUCUUGAUUUGUACUUAUCAUCUGAAUGAUCUUCAUUUAACUUAUCAGACGAAGUGGAACUUGGCUCUAUCGUCUGUCAGAAGAAGCAUUUGCAUUUGUGAUUUGAUUAGCAUUUGUCAAACGCAGCUGCUUCAUGUAUUCCAAACACUAGGCUUACUGUGUUUUUAGCAUAUAAUCAAAAUAUUUGUAUUUUUAGCAUAUAGUGUCUCUUUCUCUAUGUUGUUUAAGGACUUAAGUUCAUGUUACAUCUUUGAUUUCAUUAUAUUUUUGUUUUUUUACGAGUGUUUGUUUAGAAGUUUAUCCAAAUUGGAUCUAGUAUCUCCAUUGAAAAAGAAUUAUGUUUACUAUCCACAUGCAAAAGUUGGGUUUCAUGUUCUCAUGACAAAUGUAGACCUUUGGCAAAGGCAAGGCGUUGAUAUAUGAAAAUAUAUAUCUUAGAAUGACCUUAGAAUUUAGACGUUAGAAAACUUAUUUUCUGGAAAAAUCAUGACAUUUUACUUCCAUUCAAAAUGUUAUGUACUAAUCCAAAUUAUGUAGAUGACUUGUACAAAACCUUGUGUAUCUGAGAUCAGUUUUACUUGAAUAGUGGUUUCUCUGACUGGAAUAUUUAUUAGGAAGGAUCAAGCAAGAGAUAUGUAGGUGUUCCAGGCAUGAAUUCUAUAUGCAAAUCAUUGGGAAGUGAGAAUGGUAUCAACUUUCUUUUUAUUAUUUAGUAUUGUUGUUCAUAGUUGACCAUGAAGGCAGUAGAAAGCUUAUUCAUUACCUUUCUCAUGGUUAGGUGUGGAAAGCAAGUUUGGUGUGGGUAUUGGAAGAAUUCAAUGGUUGCAUGAUGAGAAAGAGUGGUCAUUGACAGGAGUGGAUGGGCAAAAUCUGGGUCAGUUUAAGGGUCUUGUUGCAUCAGACAAGAACAUAUUUUCUCCACGGAUUACAGAAGUAACAGGACGGCUGCCACUACUUGGUAUGAGUAUGAUGGUUUUCUUUUCCUGGCUCUGUUUAUUUUUCCAUGUUAUGUUAUUCCUCAUUCAUUUGAUCCUUUUUAUGUUUGAUGAUGAAUUGUUUUAGUGUUAUGCUAGAGAGCAUGAAUGCAAAUGCUUUUGAUAAGUUUUUCUUACAUUUUGUCAUUUUUGCAAUAAUCUUGAAGGCUAAGAAGGAUUAACAAUUUCUUGCCAGAUUGCAAUACCCACACAAUGUGUUUCUUGUGACCUGCUAAAGUAUGGAUUAUGUAUUGAUUAUUUUACACUCAUGCAAGUGAUGCAGAUAUAAAUUUAGUGCCAGAGUUGUCAGAAAAGCUGCUCAAUCUUUCUGUUAAGCCAUGUUUCGUUGUAAUGCUGGCAUUUGCAGAGCCUCUAUCAACAGUAUGAUAUACAACUCCCAAGCUAUUAUUGAAUUCUAUAAGCUUACAAAUAUAUGAAUUGGAUAUGGCUCAUUUGGUUUUGGAUUCGUUUCAUCACUCAUGCUUGGUUUUGGCAAGAUGGUUCUUGAUUUCCUUUUCGGUUUUUAGCAACUUGAUGACUUCUUCUUGUGAAAAAUUUAUGUAGUUUGAUAUCUACUAAAUAAAACAGCUGAAAAAUGAGUUUGGCAAGGUUAAUGUGUUAAUUUUUAUAACCAACAGAUUCAAAAGUAUAUAAACAGACUAGCUAUCAUGAAAAAAAAACUUUAAGGUGGGGGUACAAUGUAGUUGAAUUAAGGCUUUGCUGAGUUUUCUAAUCUUCCAUUCAGUACAAUUUUUCUGACAUAAUUGAGGAUCUUAGUCUACAAAAUUCAUUUAUGAUUCAGAUUCCUGUCAAAGCCUUUUCUUUUGAAAAUUCUAGAGUUUUAAGCCGGGCUUAUUGUGAUAGCAGCAAGCCUAGUCGUUCUACUGCAAGGUAUGUUGCAUUAGCGUUAUAAAUAUACUUUGUAACUAAUUUUCCAUUGUUAAUGGGGUGGUAACUGGUAUCUCUGCAGUGAAAGAUGGGUUCUUCAUUCUACACCAGAAUAUGCAGAGAAUAUAAUUGCUCAAACUGGACUCAAGAAGCCCUCAGACAUUACACUCAACAAAGUGGCUGAACAGCUUUUGCAAGAAUUUCAAAGCACAGGGCUUAUCAUAUCUCAACCAUUUUUCAAGAAAGCUCAUAGAUGGUAAGUAACUAAGAGUUAAUGUACAUAGAUAGAAGCUCUAAGUUGACAGCAAUUUCUCAUGCCAUGGACAUGUGUAAUACAUCUAGAAUUACACUUAGUUGUUAGUGCCUUGAAAGAACUAUCUUGAGUUAUUAGAGCAUUACUAUAGAGCAGUGUUGGAGAUCUCAUAUCGACUAGAGAUAAGGAUAUUUUAUAGUAUAUAAAUGGGUUCAAAUUUCACCUUAUAAAGUCCACUUCUUAAUAGGUAACAUUCGCGCUUCUUAUCCAUUAAUUUUUUCACAUCUCAGAAACUCGGUUGCCUUUACCUCUGGUGGAUAAUUUUGUAUGAACUUUAUCGUGGAAAACCUUUCUCUUAACAAAGUUUUGAUCUAUCAAAUAUCCUUUGCAUGAUGAUAAGUAGGAAAUAACUAACUAGUGUUAAAUUAAUGGAUAAAUGCUAGCUUGUCAGAGACCAUGUACUGAUUUAUUUUUUAUUGAUAGGAUUUAAACACAUGUAGUACGAAGGAGUUUACAACAACUCACAUACACUUUAAUGAUGUUCAAAACAACAUCAUUAUAUUUUAGUUAUCCUUUUUUUAUCUGCUUUAACAUUAGAAACUCAAGAGAAUUUCAAUAUUAACAAUACUGCUGCAUGCAAUAUUUCCAUUCAAUGCUUAUGAUGAGAAAGGUUUUGUUUUUAUGUUGCAAAGUUGAUUGUUUUUACAGGGGGAGUGCAUUUCCAGCUGCUAGUGUUGCCCCAGAGGAAAAAUGUCUUUGGGAUAGAAGCAAGAAACUAGCCAUCUGUGGAGACUUCUGUGUCAGUCCUAAUGUUGAAGGUGCCAUAGAUAGUGGUUUGGCAGCUGCAUUAAAGCUUAGAGAUAAUGUCAGCUCUUUAUAGUUGGAGCCCUUGUUAUCUUAAGUCCUUCUUUGGGUUUUUUCUGGGAGAAUUCAUGUUCAAAAUUUGUUUUAAGACAUCACUGUAUUACUAAGCAUAAUAAGGUAAAGCAUCUGUGAUGUGCACUGUAUUUGUGAGUUAGUGAGCAUGUUAUAUCUUUUUAGUUGAAUAAAACACAUUUAAGAAAGCAUUGUGAGAAGCCCUUUUAGGUAAUGAUUGUCUAAUCAAUGAAUCCACUUACUGAUAAGUAAACUUGGAUACGAAAAGUAUAAAUGUUUUGAAGAAACAAACGGGGAUUUAGACAAAUUACUCUUCUAAUUAAUAGUUAUUUGUCUGCUUCUUGUUGUAGAGAUCUUACUUCGAUAAAAAUUAAAGAUAUUUCACAAUAUAUAAAUAUAUGUAAACUUUAUCUUAUAAAUUAGUUUUAUAAUGUUAAAUUAGAUUUAAAGUUUAUUUUUUAAUAUUUUUAAUAAUUUUUUAUAAAAUUAAAAAAUAAUGAAAUAAAUUCUUUUAAGUUAUUUUUAAUAUAGUUCAUCCAGUAAUUAUUAUUUUAAAAAUAUUAUUAAUUAUCAAGUAUAUUAAUUAUUUAUUUUUUGCUUUUCUUAAUGUAAUUGUCCAGUAAGUACUUUAAUUUUGAGCAAUGAUAUUUGACACUCAUUAAAUUCUAAAUUCUAAAUUUCGAUUACAUUUAUUUGACACUUAAAUAAAUUAUUAUCUUAUUAUAAUAUAAUAUGUUAUUUUAAAAAAAUGGUAGAGAAGUUAUUUUUAUUAUUUGGGAUGUUAAACAAAUUUGAUUCUUUACUUUUAUGAGUUAAAUCAAGAGAAAAUAAUAAAAGAAGAUGAAAAGUAAUUUUCGUAAAUUUAUUUUCCAAAUAAUUUGACUAAUCCUCGAUAAUUUAAUUUAUAUUAAAUUAUUGUAAUUUUCCACUAAAUAAAUGUUGUGUUAACGGAAGCUAGGGCAAAGUGAAACCAUUAUAACUUUUUUGUUGUUGUUGAAUGAACAUUUUUAAGUGCAAUUCUGCAGUAAUUUCCACCUUAAAACACACACAAAUGUUGUAAAAUCUCUCCUUUUUCUUCCACCAGAAAAAAUGUGUUUUUUUCCUGAGGGAAUAUCCACUUUGCUUUCAUGAAGAUGAAUUUGAAGAUUUUUGUUUGCAGGUGAAAAAUUGAUCUGGUUCAGAUAAUGUUUACAUUAUCAUAUCCCUCUGUCUGCCACAAAUGCCACGCCACGUGUCAGAAAACCAAUCACAAAUCCUUGGCCACUAUUGUUGUUAUUAUUAUGAGUGGCACUUGUUUUGUUUUCCAUACCAAAGAAGAAGCAUUUGCAGAAGCAGCAACAAUUAGUCUCAGCUGAAAAUGGCCUCCUCAGUGAUGGCAUCUGUGGCCCUUAAACCUGCCCCUUUCACUGUUGAGAAGUCCUCAGUGAGAGGGCUUCCCUCCCUCUCAAGAAACUCCUCUUCAUUCAGAGUUGUGGCCAGUGGUGGCAAGAAGAUCAAGACUGACACACCUUAUGGUUGGAUUGCAUACAUGCACUUUCUGAAACAUUGCAAACACCCUUUUGUCAAUCUUGCUGAUUUUUGUGUGAAUGUUUUGCAGGAAUCAGUGGUGGCAUGAACUUGAGGGAUGGAGUUGAUGCAUCUGGCAGGAAAGGAAAGGUUUGUACCUUCAUGGUUGUUUUUAAUUGGCCUUCUUGGAUUGCAUCUUAGAACAUAGUUAGCAUGAAUUGUUGUGACUAAAGUACACACAGAAUAAUCAAUCUCAGUUGUUUUGAGAAGAAGAUGAACUGAUACUCAACUAUAUCAUGAUUUGUUGUGUAUGCUAUGUGCUUGAUAGGAAAAACCACUGACACUUCUUCAACAUUCUCAUGAUUUGUUGAUAUUGGCUAUUGAGUUUUUCAAUCAAUAACUGAAAGUGUUUACUUCUGUUUAAGUUUUUGAAAUUGUUAUUUUAUUACAUAACUUUGGAGUUAGAGUCUCUCACUCUGAUUAAGGAAUCUGAAGUUGAUUCAUUCUUUUGAGAUUGUUGGUAGUAUUAUUCUUCUAACUUUGAAACAUGAAUUCAGGG